UUAAGCGACUAAGCGUACACGGUGGAUGCCCUGGCAGUCAGAGGCGAUGAAGGACGUGCUAAUCUGCGAUAAGCGUCGGUAAGGUGAUAUGAACCGUUAUAACCGGCGAUUUCCGAAUGGGGAAACCCAGUGUGAUUCGUCACACUAUCAUUAACUGAAUCCAUAGGUUAAUGAGGCGAACCGGGGGAACUGAAACAUCUAAGUACCCCGAGGAAAAGAAAUCAACCGAGAUUCCCCCAGUAGCGGCGAGCGAACGGGGAGCAGCCCAGAGCCUGAAUCAGUGUGUGUGUUAGUGGAAGCGUCUGGAAAGGCGCGCGAUACAGGGUGACAGCCCCGUACACAAAAAUGCACAUACUGUGAGCUCGAUGAGUAGGGCGGGACACGUGGUAUCCUGUCUGAAUAUGGGGGGACCAUCCUCCAAGGCUAAAUACUCCUGACUGACCGAUAGUGAACCAGUACCGUGAGGGAAAGGCGAAAAGAACCCCGGCGAGGGGAGUGAAAAAGAACCUGAAACCGUGUACGUACAAGCAGUGGGAGCACAGAGCAAUCUGUGUGACUGCGUACCUUUUGUAUAAUGGGUCAGCGACUUAUAUUCUGUAGCAAGGUUAACCGAAUAGGGGAGCCGAAGGGAAACCGAGUCUUAACUGGGCGUUAAGUUGCAGGGUAUAGACCCGAAACCCGGUGAUCUAGCCAUGGGCAGGUUGAAGGUUGGGUAACACUAACUGGAGGACCGAACCGACUAAUGUUGAAAAAUUAGCGGAUGACUUGUGGCUGGGGGUGAAAGGCCAAUCAAACCGGGAGAUAGCUGGUUCUCCCCGAAAGCUAUUUAGGUAGCGCCUCGUGAAUUCAUCUCCGGGGGUAGAGCACUGUUUCGGCAAGGGGGUCAUCCCGACUUACCAACCCGAUGCAAACUGCGAAUACCGGAGAAUGUUAUCACGGGAGACACACGGCGGGUGCUAACGUCCGUCGUGAAGAGGGAAACAACCCAGACCGCCAGCUAAGGUCCCAAAGUCAUGGUUAAGUGGGAAACGAUGUGGGAAGGCCCAGACAGCCAGGAUGUUGGCUUAGAAGCAGCCAUCAUUUAAAGAAAGCGUAAUAGCUCACUGGUCGAGUCGGCCUGCGCGGAAGAUGUAACGGGGCUAAACCAUGCACCGAAGCUGCGGCAGCGACGCUUAUGCGUUGUUGGGUAGGGGAGCGUUCUGUAAGCCUGUGAAGGUGUACUGUGAGGUAUGCUGGAGGUAUCAGAAGUGCGAAUGCUGACAUAAGUAACGAUAAAGCGGGUGAAAAGCCCGCUCGCCGGAAGACCAAGGGUUCCUGUCCAACGUUAAUCGGGGCAGGGUGAGUCGACCCCUAAGGCGAGGCCGAAAGGCGUAGUCGAUGGGAAACAGGUUAAUAUUCCUGUACUUGGUGUUACUGCGAAGGGGGGACGGAGAAGGCUAUGUUGGCCGGGCGACGGUUGUCCCGGUUUAAGCGUGUAGGCUGGUUUUCCAGGCAAAUCCGGAAAAUCAAGGCUGAGGCGUGAUGACGAGGCACUACGGUGCUGAAGCAACAAAUGCCCUGCUUCCAGGAAAAGCCUCUAAGCAUCAGGUAACAUCAAAUCGUACCCCAAACCGACACAGGUGGUCAGGUAGAGAAUACCAAGGCGCUUGAGAGAACUCGGGUGAAGGAACUAGGCAAAAUGGUGCCGUAACUUCGGGAGAAGGCACGCUGAUAUGUAGGUGAAGCGACUUGCUCGUGGAGCUGAAAUCAGUCGAAGAUACCAGCUGGCUGCAACUGUUUAUUAAAAACACAGCACUGUGCAAACACGAAAGUGGACGUAUACGGUGUGACGCCUGCCCGGUGCCGGAAGGUUAAUUGAUGGGGUCAGCGCAAGCGAAGCUCUUGAUCGAAGCCCCGGUAAACGGCGGCCGUAACUAUAACGGUCCUAAGGUAGCGAAAUUCCUUGUCGGGUAAGUUCCGACCUGCACGAAUGGCGUAAUGAUGGCCAGGCUGUCUCCACCCGAGACUCAGUGAAAUUGAACUCGCUGUGAAGAUGCAGUGUACCCGCGGCAAGACGGAAAGACCCCGUGAACCUUUACUAUAGCUUGACACUGAACAUUGAGCCUUGAUGUGUAGGAUAGGUGGGAGGCUUUGAAGUGUGGACGCCAGUCUGCAUGGAGCCGACCUUGAAAUACCACCCUUUAAUGUUUGAUGUUCUAACGUGGACCCGUAAUCCGGGUUGCGGACAGUGUCUGGUGGGUAGUUUGACUGGGGCGGUCUCCUCCUAAAGAGUAACGGAGGAGCACGAAGGUUGGCUAAUCCUGGUCGGACAUCAGGAGGUUAGUGCAAUGGCAUAAGCCAGCUUGACUGCGAGCGUGACGGCGCGAGCAGGUGCGAAAGCAGGUCAUAGUGAUCCGGUGGUUCUGAAUGGAAGGGCCAUCGCUCAACGGAUAAAAGGUACUCCGGGGAUAACAGGCUGAUACCGCCCAAGAGUUCAUAUCGACGGCGGUGUUUGGCACCUCGAUGUCGGCUCAUCACAUCCUGGGGCUGAAGUAGGUCCCAAGGGUAUGGCUGUUCGCCAUUUAAAGUGGUACGCGAGCUGGGUUUAGAACGUCGUGAGACAGUUCGGUCCCUAUCUGCCGUGGGCGCUGGAGAACUGAGGGGGGCUGCUCCUAGUACGAGAGGACCGGAGUGGACGCAUCACUGGUGUUCGGGUUGUCAUGCCAAUGGCACUGCCCGGUAGCUAAAUGCGGAAGAGAUAAGUGCUGAAAGCAUCUAAGCACGAAACUUGCCCCGAGAUGAGUUCUCCCUGACUCCUUGAGAGUCCUGAAGGAACGUUGAAGACGACGACGUUGAUAGGCCGGGUGUGUAAGCGCAGCGAUGCGUUGAGCUAACCGGUACUAAUGAACCGUGAGGCUUAACCU
rnacentral:rRNA from 1 species